rnacentral:lncRNA from 1 species
UGGCCUGUCAAAGUUGUCUCACUUGGGGCUAAAAUGACCAGCCCUUUUCAUCCCUGUCAAUCCACUGGAUAUUGUCAGCCCCAGGAAGUUGUGUGAUCUUGAGCGAGGUGGCUUUCUGAAGCUGUGGCCAUCCUCGGCAUUCCUUACAGGUGGGGCAAAAGUCCUUCCUUGAAGGGAGAUCUGGUAGUACCACAGCCUGCUUUAUGGGCAUAUGAUCUGUGCAGUGGCGCAGGGCCCCGUACUUAGAGGGGCCUAUGUUUGGUUCAGUGCUCUGCUGUUGCUGUCCUGAUAGUCUUAAUCAUUGAAAAAUGAGUCCCUCGUUUUCAUUUUGCACUGAGUCUUGUAAAUUAGGUAACGGGGCUGGGUGGCACUUCUGUAUGUCUCCCACAGUUCCUGUUCUGUGAGAUUCUGCGUAACCUGGUAGGGUGGCCUAGCUAUCAAAGAGGCACUUCCAGAGGGACACAGGGUUAGUGGGUACUACCCUACAGCUGCUCUGAUGCAGAGUAAAAGUCUUGAGAUCCUCUGAAAUAGAAUUAAACUUCCACACAAUUUAGCUAGUUAGGUCUAAGUAGGUGUAAUUAGAGGUUACUCAGUGAAAUUAGGUAACUGAGUCAAAAUAAAGUGUAAUGAAUUUUCUUUCUUCUUUUUUUGCAACUUUUUUGUGUGUAUUAUUACAGAAGUGAGUGUUGAGUAGACUCAGGGCUGAUUUGUUUGUAUUCCCCCUUUCUAUCUCCUUUUUCCCUUAAUUUCUUGGUAACAGAAGCAGAAAUAGAACAGAUUACUAGGACUGGAGGCUCUCCAACUUCAACCCUUUCUUUUAUAAGUGAAGAAAAUGAAGCCCUACAAUAAUAUUGCCCAAGGUCACACAGCUGCUCAGGGCCAAUACAUGAACUAGAAUUCAAUUUCUCUUUAUUUUAAAUGAGGAAGUUUUCCCACUAUGUUUAAGGUAUAAUUUCCUCACUAUGUGUAACACAUCACCAGUGAUUCUGACAUUAAUUUUCUGAUGGCAGGCAUUUCAGUCCAUGCUUAAUUUCUCAGUAGCUUGGAAAAUUUCUAACAAAUCGAGUCUAAAUUAAAAUCUGCAUACCAAAAGUGGGAUGGCGGAUUCAUGAGGUGACGUUCCAAGCUGCAAAUCCUGUCAUUUUCUCUAAGUUACAGUUGUCAGUUGCUGCACCUGGAAAGUUUCAUUCCAAAUGGUUACAGUGAAUUCACUUCAAGAUGCUACCUUUUCCUCUUUGUGGGAGCAGAGAGAUGUCAAAAUAGGAAGUCCAAUUAUAAUAGGGCCACGGAAUCAGCCUGAGGCUGUAUUUGCACAUCUGGCAACUUUGAAUAUAAUAUCCCCAAAGAUGAGAAGCUUCAUAAAAAUUUAGAGGGCAGAAACUGUGAUUUUGCCUUUAUAGACAAAACGCGUGGAUGGAAGGCUGAUGGUUUGAAACAAAGCCAACAUGCAAAACUAUGCCAAAUAUCAUUGCUGUUGGGGUUGCUUGGAAAAUGAAGUAUUUAGGCCAAUGAUUCUUUCCCGGAAGCUAAAAUAAAUCUAGAACAAUGGAAUACAAUCUUGGGUACAGGCCAGAAGUGGUCACAGGAUUUGAAGUAGCCAAUAAGAAAUUAAAAUAAAUUAUAUCUAGCAUUUCAAAUCUAGCAUUCAAAUCAGGUGAUGUUGGUAUACUGUUUUCCUGGUGUCUUAAACCUGUUUUACUUAAGCAUUUUGCCUUGAGUCCUUCCUCAGCUAUACAUUUUGCCUCCAUCAUCAAUUAGGGAAAACAGUAAAUUAAACUAACUUCUGCCUGUGAGUUGCAUUCUUGCAAAAUAAGAAAUAAUUACUUUGAUGAAGUAGAGUGGGCAUUCCUUGGUCACUUCACAUUUACCUUUCCACUCCUUUACUCUUCAGUAGCCAUAGUGAUAAAGAUUAAUUUAUUUAAAUUAUCUUUAUAGCAUUUUACAGCUUCCAGAGCAAUUACCCAUGCAUUAUCUUAUUUAACAAUCUUUUGAAGAUUGUUAUUGAAAUUGAAGAUAUUAUUACACCUGUACUAAAGAUGGGGAAACUGGGAUUUAGAGAGGUGAUAUAAAGUAUACUUCAUAUCACAUCUCUCCUGUCUAAGCCUUUCAACAGUUUUUCAUUGUUCUUAGAAUACGUUCAAACUCCUACCAGAGAUUAAAGUUCCUACAUGAUCUGACCCCGCACUUCCUCUCUUGUUCUAUCCCACUCCCUGCCUUUCAUCCUCUCCCUGCCUUGUUCACAGUGCUCCAGGACACUGUGUUGUCGUCCAUUUCCUCAAAAGCACCAAAUCUUUCAGAACUCAGUCUUAACACAUGCUAUUUCUCUACCUGGAGGAACACAUAAGGAGUGGACACAUAUGUAGGUUUAAACUUUGGGUAACCAUAUUAAAUGAAAGUGAAAAAGAAGCAGUGAAACAUUUGAACACUGUAUACUAACUCAAAUAUCUAAAAUACUUCAACAUGCAAUCAAUAUAAAAAUUAUUAUAUAGGAGCCGGCCCGGUGGCACAGCGGUUAGUUUUGCACAUUCUGCUUUGGCGGCCCGGGACUUGCCGGUUCGGAUCCCAGGUGCAGACAUGUCACUGCUUGGCACGCCAUGCUGUGGUAGGCAUCCCACAUAUAAAGUAGAGGAAGAUGGGCAUGGAUGUUAGCUCAGGGCCAGUCUUCCUCAGCAAAAAAGAGGGAGAUUGGCAGCAGUUAGCUCAGAGCUAAUCUUCCUCAACAAAUAAAAAUUAUUAUAUAGAUCUAUGUUCUUUUUUCAUACAAAGUAAUUGAAAUCUCAUGUGUAUUUUAUACUUACAGCCCAUGUCAGUUUGGACUACCCAAAUUUCAAGGGCUCAAAUAGGCAUAUGUGGGUAGUGGCUACCAUAUUGGACAGCACAGGUUAAAAAUAUUUAUUUGACUACAUUUAGAUUAGACUAAAUGUUUGGGUUUUUUCCUAGACACCAAUGCACAUGACUGAGCAGGAGGACCAGAGCAAAUAAAGGAGUUACAUUCUGUCUGCAUAUCUGAGUUACCAUGCGAGUUAGUGUUUCAACCCUUUCAACCUCCCCAUAUUUAUGUCUGGCACAAAGUAAGAACUCAAGGAGGGUGAACUAUCUUUAUGAUCAUUAUUAUUAAUAGCAGGGACAGAACAGAGCCCAGGGCUCCUGACUUCUAGCCAAAUGCCCUUUCCAGAAUCCCAGGGGGCCUCCCAUGUUAGCAAUACAUUUAUGCUACGAGUACAAUGUCAUGGGUAGCCGCCAGCAUUAUAAAAACUUGCACACUGGAUUCCUGGUGCUGUACGAUCUGAGAUGCUUCAAAUCACCUGCUUGCAGAACAAAGUAGUGAAAAACAAAACAAUUUCAUUUUGCCGGAUUGACCUUUAAAUCCUCGCAUGC